rnacentral:rRNA from 1 species
UACGUAGGGGGCUAGCGUUGUCCGGAAUCAUUGGGCGUAAAGAGCGUGUAGGCGGCCCGGUAAGUCCGCUGUGAAAGUCGGGGGCUCAACCCUCGAAUGCCGGUGGAUACUGUCGGGCUAGAGUGCGGAAGAGGCGAGUGGAAUUCCGUGGUGUAGCGGUGGAAUGCGCAGAUAUCAGGAGGAACACCAAUAGCGAAGGCAGCUCGCUGGGACGGUACUGACGCUGAGGCGCGAAAGCGUGGGGAGCGAACAGG